GAUGGGACCGUUCCAAUGGCCUAGUAGAUAGAGCGUCCGCCUCUGAUGCGGGAGGUAGUGGGUUCGAUCCCCGGCCGCGUCA